CUGAGGCUGGGCAAAGUCUGUCCUGAACACUCUUGGACUGGCCCAGCCAGUACCUCUUGUUUCUUCUUGGAGUACCAAAUGUUCCUAACCCUCCCAUGCUCCAGCCUAGCCUGUGCUCCAUUCUUGUUCCCAGCUGGCUGUCAACUCAGGAAUAAAAUGAUAAUUAAGGUGUUUGUGGUGUUUACAGCCACUAAGUAUCUGAGGAGGCCUUGAACCCAAAUCUUCUGAUUCCAAGUCUGUAAAAUGGAAAUGAGAACACCUGUGUUACCUACCUUACAGAGCUCAUCUUCCAGGGAACAUUUGUAUUUUAAAAAGAGACUAGGAACUGGAAAGUACUUCCCUGACUAAAGAUGUCUGAAAGGCCUUGAAGAGGACAAAGACUUUCAUUUCACAAUAAGAGAUCAGUUCUGAAAAGUAAACACUCCUGGAAAAAGUUGGCUCUGAGGAUCCCAGGACUGCUCUAGCACAUACACCACAGGGAUACCAGAUUUCAAAGAGGACCCUGAUUUGGCUCAAAUCCCUUUGUUGCUUCUCUUAAAAGUAGAAAAGAGUCAGAAGGAUGUUCUCAUAUUUUAUAUGCUUUGGAAGUCCCCAAAAUGUCUUCUGUUUUUUCCAACUGAUGGAACUGUCAAAGCCUGACUCCUGGCAUGCCUGCAAAGUCUUGAGAUGAGGAAACUGAGGCUCAGAAAAUUGAAGGGGUUUGCCCAAGAUCUCAUGGAAGAGCUGGGAUUUGAACCCAGGCCCUCCGUCUCCUUCCAUGUACUCCUUCCAUGGAUCCGAAAUGUGCUUUGUGACUGGAAUGCAUUAUACAUUACAAAUAUGAGCUAUUAUGAGAAUUAAGACAAAUUUAUAAGAAUACAAGCCAUUCCCCAGUUGAU